AAUAUUGAUAAUGAAAUAAAUUCCUAAGUAUUAGACUAUUAGUUGCAAAAGGAAGAAAUAAAAAAAAGAAAAGUUGUUUAGGAGUCCCUUUCCUUUUUCUCUCUAAACUCUGAAGUGCAUCUUGACAUCAUACACAUGCAUGUGUUGCUAGUUUAAGGAAAAAGGAAAAGAGAAAGAAAUUAAGGAUUGAGAUUUGAUGAUAAUUCUUCUUUCUAUAUAUUCUUUAAGGAAAAAAAAAUGAAGGUGUUCAUGCAUUAGCUACAAUCCUUGAAAUUUAAUUUACUUGUGAGUAUAAUCCUAUCUUGAGCCAUAACAUUUAACUAUAGAAAACAAUGGUAUACCUCCAUUUUUUUAAAGUUAUUCCCAUAGCAAAAACAAAACCAUGAAAAUGCUUAUUCUAGUGAAGAAUGCCUACAAUCUCCAUUCAAACAUAGCCAAAUUAAGCAUUGAAAAGUUAUUCUAGUGAAGAAUGCAU
rnacentral:misc_RNA from 1 species